rnacentral:rRNA from 1 species
CCUACGGGUGGCAGCAGUGGGGAAUAUUGCACAAUGGGGGAAACCCUGAUGCAGCGACGCCGCGUGAGUGAAGAAGUAUUUCGGGAUGUAAAGCUCUAGCAGCAGGGAAGAGAAUGACGGUACCUGACUAAGAAGCCCCGGCUAACUACGUGCCAGCAGCCGCGGUAAUACGUAGGGGGCAAGCGUUAUCCGGAUUUACUGGGUGUAAAGGGAGCGUAGGUGGCAGGGCAAGUCAGAUGUGAAAACCCGGGGCUCAACCCCGGGAGUGCAUUUGAAACUGUCCAGCUGGAGUGCAGGAGAGGUAAGCGGAAUUCCUCGUGUAUCGGUGCAAUGCAUAGCUAUUCGGAGGAACACCAGUGGCGCAGGCGGCUUACUGGACUGUACCUGCCACUGUGGCUCGAAAGCGUGGGGAGCAAACCGGAUUAGCUACCCGUGUAGUC